GAGUUCCUCAACCUUGUCCAUCUGGUUCCCUGGAACGAGGAUACACUCAAGACCAUCUGGACGGGUUUGGACAACUACUGUUUUCACAAGAAACAGAUGAGACUCACGCAGAAGAGAUUACUUACACUGAUCCAGUGUUCUACAAAAGAAACGCAAAUAAACCAAAAGAUGAAGAGCAUGAUCAUGUGGUUUAUGCACCUCUCACAAUAAGAUGAACAAAAAGGUGUUUUUCUAAGUACAAAAUCCAACUGUGUGACCUGUGACAACCAUAAGCUUCAACCCUAAACAUCUGAUCAAGCAAAUCAAGUCCUUCAGGCUUAUUUGGAAACUACAGGUAUGUGUGAUGAAGCAGGGUUGGAACUAAACUCUGAAGGACAGUGGUCCUCCAGGAGCAGGGUUGAAGACCUCUCAUCUAAACCGUAUGGGGAGCAAUAAUAUUUGUCACUGUUAAAUUCAUAAAGUCAACAUAUGUAAUCUGUAUGUAUGAAAAAGGUGCAAAAUGUAUUGAACGGACUGGAGACUCUGCUGUGUACUCAAUUAUUACCUCUGUACACAAAUGUAGUUUGAUCUGUUGUGCCUGAGCUGUGUGAGUUUGAUGUCAGAGAGUGUGUCUGGUGAGAAUAGUGUGUCUAGCAUGUGGUUAAAGGGCUUUUUUCAUUCCUGACCUGCUCACAUCAAAAACAUUUCACUUCUGCUUUAAAACAUGCUUAACAAAAUACUGAUCUCAGCUGUUGUUUGAAAAAAAAAGGUCUCAAAUCAAACAAAGAAAAAACUGUGGAAUAUUAAAAUAUCAUAUUACUUGUGCUCAUUUGCAUCAUGAUCUUAUAAACUCAUGCAGUGAUCGUGCAGUAAAGCAGUGCUGGCUUCAGUAAUUAUU